rnacentral:rRNA from 1 species
GACGAACCGUGCGAACGUUGUUCGGAAUCACUGGGCUUAAAGGGCGCGUAGGCGGAUGAGCAAGUCCGGAGUGAAAUCUUUCGGCUUAACCGGAAAAGUGCUUUGGAUACUGCUCGUCUUGAGGGAGGUAGGGGCAUGUGGAACUUCUGGUGGAGCGGUGAAAUGCGUUGAUAUCAGAAGGAACACCGGUGGCGAAGGCGGGUCUCUGGGCAACAACUGACCCUGAGGCGCGAAAGCUAGGGGAGCGAACAGG